rnacentral:ncRNA from 1 species
CCCCGCCGAGGAGAAAAAAAGGAGGAAAAUCCGCGAACCGGCGGUGCGGCAAUGUGGAGACUUGUCGUAAGGUCCACGGGGUAAACUCCCCGCGGGCGAGGGCGCGCCGCGGAGGCGGCGGGUCUGCGGUUCAUCGCUAUGGCA